rnacentral:rRNA from 1 species
UACGAAGGGUGCUAGCGUUGUUCGGAAUUACUGGGCGUAAAGCGCGCGUAGGCGGCGACUCAAGUCAGGGGUGAAAUCCUUGGGCUCAACCCAAGAAUUGCCUUUGAAACUGUGUUGCUAGAGUGUCGGAGGGGAUAGCGGAAUUGCUAAUGUAGAGGUGAAAUUCGUAGAUAUUAGCAGGAACACCGGUGGCGAAGGCGGCUAUCUGGACGACAACUGACGCUGAGGCGCGAAAGCGUGGGGAUCAAACAGG